rnacentral:rRNA from 1 species
UACGUAGGGUGCAAGCGUUGUCCGGAAUUAUUGGGCGUAAAGAGCUCGUAGGCGGUUUGUCGCGUCUGCUGUGAAAACCUAAGGCUCAACCUUGGGCUUGCAGUGGGUACGGGCAGACUAGAGUGCGGUAGGGGUGACUGGAAUUCCUGGUGUAGCGGUGAAAUGCGCAGAUAUCAGGAGGAACACCGAUGGCGAAGGCAGGUCUCUGGGCAUUAACUGACGCUGAGGAGCGAAAGCAUGGGGAGCGAACAGG